rnacentral:rRNA from 1 species
ACGGGUGAGUAACGCGUGGUCAACCUACCGUUGAGUGGGGGAUAACUAGCCGAAAGGUUAGCUAAUACCGCAUACGUCUCUAAGGGGCAUCCCUUGGCGAUAAAAGGAGCAAUCCGCUCGAUGACGGGACCGCGUCCCAUUAGCUAGAUGGUGGGGUAACGGCCUACCAUGGCUCCGAUGGGUAGCUGGUUUGAGAGAGCGACCAGCCACACUGGGACUGAGAAACGGCCCAG